rnacentral:rRNA from 1 species
AUACGGAGGAUCCGAGCGUUAUCCGGAUUUAUUGGGUUUAAAGGGUGCGCAGGCGGCCGUGCAAGUCAGCGGUGAAAGCCCGGGGCUCAACCCCGGAAGUGCCGUUGAUACUGCGUGGCUGGAAUGCGGUCGAGGCGGGCGGGACGUGGCGUGUAGCGGUGGAAUGCGUAGAUAUGCCACAGAACGCCGAUAGCGGGGGCAGCUCGCCAGGCCUGCUUUGACGCUCGGGGACGAAAGCGUGGGGAUCGAACAGGAUUAGAUCCCCUGGUAGUCCACGCCGUAAACGAUGGGCGCUCGUCGUCGGCGGCAGACAGUCGGCGGCCAAGCGAAAGCGAUAAGCGCCCCACCUGGGGAGUACGGUCGCAAGGCUGAAACUUAAAGGAAUUGACGGGG